UACGUAGGGUGCAAGCGUUAAUCGGAAUUACUGGGCGUAAAGCGUGCGCAGGCGGUUCUGUAAGACAGAUGUGAAAUCCCCGGGCUCAACCUGGGAACUGCAUUUGUGACUGCAUAGCUAGAGUACGGUAGAGGGGGAUGGAAUUCCGCGUGUAGCAGUGAAAUGCGUAGAUAUGCGGAGGAACACCGAUGGCGAAGGCAAUCCCCUGGACCUGUACUGACGCUCAUGCACGAAAGCGUGGGGAGCAAACAGG
rnacentral:rRNA from 1 species